rnacentral:rRNA from 1 species
GAGUUUGAUCAUGGCUCAGAUUGAACGCUGGCGGCAUGCCUUACACAUGCAAGUCGAACGGCAGCACGGGAGCUUGCUCCUGGUGGCGAGUGGCGAACGGGUGAGUAAUGCAUCGGAACGUAUCCUGGAGUGGGGGAUAACGUAGCGAAAGUUACGCUAAUACCGCAUAUUCUGUGAGCAGGAAAGCGGGGGACCUUCGGGCCUCGCGCUCUUGGAGCGGCCGAUGUCGGAUUAGCUAGUUGGUGAGGUAAAGGCUCACCAAGGCGACGAUCCGUAGCAGGUCUGAGAGGAUGAUCUGCCACACUGGAACUGAGACACGGUCCAGACUCCUACGGAGGCAGCAGUGGGGAAUUUUGGACAAUGGGGGCAACCCUGAUCCAGCCAUGCCGCGUGAGUGAAGAAGGCCUUCGGUUGUAA